GUGGCUCCUGGGCCAGGGGCUGCUCUGAACAGGCUCCUGGAGAUGCUUCAGCCUGGAUACAGGCCACUGACAGCCCAAAAGCAGCCCAAGGAGCAGCUGGCGUGUCCUGGUGAUGGUGGCACGGGCUGCGUGCAGAGGGGCUCAGACAGCAAUUCCUGGUUCCAGCCUCCCAGAGCUCCCAGGCAGCUGCCAGCUAUUAAAUGCCAACCGACAGCCUGCAGAGAUGCCUUCAAAUCAAAGGUUCAGGUGGGAUGAAGUUUUGUUUGGACGAAGGUGGGAGUUUCCAGGGAGCCAGCUGGAAGUGCAGAAGGGAUGGAAAGCUUUCCCAGGUGCUGGACUUGCCUCUGUGGAUGUGUGCUGAGCUCUCACUACAGGGGACUGUGAGGCCUGACUGGCUGUGAGUUUGUGUUCUUCUCACAGGGGAAUCAGAAAUGAUCAUUAAUUAGACCACAGAAAUCUUUUCUGAAACCUUUCCCCUUUCCUGCCCUUUGCUGGUAAGUCUUUUCUUUCUGCCUUUAACUCUACAGCUGUUCCCUGAUGUCAU